rnacentral:rRNA from 1 species
UACGUAGGGUGCGAGCGUUGUCCGGAAUUAUUGGGCGUAAAGAGCUCGUAGGCGGUGUGUCACGUCGUUCGUGAAAACCUGCAGCUUAACUGUGGGCGUGCGGUCGAUACGGGCAUCACUGGAGUUCGGCAGGGGAGACUGGAAUUCCUGGUGUAGCGGUGAAAUGCGCAGAUAUCAGGAGGAACACCAGUGGCGAAGGCGGGUCUCUGGGCAACAACUGACGCUGAGGAGCGAAAGCGUGGGGAGCGAACAGG